rnacentral:rRNA from 1 species
GUCCACGCCGUAAACGAUGGAUACUAGCUGUUGGGAGCGAUCUCAGUGGCUAAGCGAAAGUGAUAAGUAUCCCACCUGGGGAGUACGUUCGCAAGAAUGAAACUCAAAGGAAUUGACGGGGGCCCGCACAAGCGGUGGAGCAUGUGGUUUAAUUCGAUGAUACGCGAGGAACCUUACCAAGGCUUAAAUGUAGUUUGACCCAUUUGGAAACAGAUCUUUCGCAAGACAAAUUACAAGGUGCUGCAUGGUUGUCGU